rnacentral:snRNA from 1 species
GGAUGUAAGGGCGAUCUGGCUGUGACAUCUGUCACCCCACUGAUCGCCAGGGUUGAUUUGGCUGAUCUGGCUGGCUAGGCAGGUGUCCCAUUCCUCCCUCAACGCUCCAUGUGUGUCCCUCCCGAAGCUGUGUGCUUGGUCAAAGAGGACAACCUUUUUUUUUCUUUUUUCCUACCACUCUGGAGAGGGACCUGGACAGGCUAGAGAGUUGGG